rnacentral:rRNA from 1 species
GUGGGGAAUAUUGGGCAAUGGGCGAAAGCCUGACCCAGCAACGCCGCGUGAAGGAAGAAGGUUUUCGGAUUGUAAACUUCUGUCCUCAGGGAAGAAGAAAGUGACGGUACCUGAGGAGGAAGCCCCGGCUAACUACGUGCCAGCAGCCGCGGUAAUACGUAGGGGGCGAGCGUUGUCCGGAAUGACUGGGCGUACAGGGCGCGUAGACGGCUGUCUAAGUCUGGAGUGAAAGUCCUGCUUUCAAGGUGGGAAUUGCUUUGGAGACUGGAUGGCUUGAGUGCGGAAGAGGUAAGUGGAAUUCCCAGUGUAGCGGUGAAAUGCGUAGAGAUUGGGAGGAACACCAGUGGCGAAGGCGACUUACUGGGCCGUAACUGACGUUGAUGCGCGAAAGCGUGGGGAGCGAACAGGAUUAGAUACCCGGGUAGUCC